CGCAAGAUGGUGUCUGCCUGCAGGAGGCUGGGCGUGUUGGGUUCCCCCUGCGCCCCCGCCCCCAGUCACCCCGCUCUCUAGGGCUGCACGUGGGCAAGAUUGGAUGAGGCACAUCUUUGACCUUCCGACUAAAACACCUAGAUCCUACUGGAAACCAGUACAAGUCACUCCCUCUCUGCAAGUUCAUCUUUGCGUCCCUGACACGUGGCUGUCGGCAGCUCAGUGUGCUGUGAUAGCAGAAGCUUCCACUAUGCUGGGUCUCGUGGGAUUUCUCUUUUUCGCCCUUCCCCUCUGGUGAAGAAUACUCUGCCCAUGGCUGUGUUUCUCACUCCAGUUUAUGCAGUAAGAUGGUUCAUCUCAAAGCAUCUUCCUUUUCCACUCCCUGUCGUGCAAGACUACUACCAUCAAAGCAAAUUGCUGAAGCAAGCAGAGCCAGCUUUGCCCCUGGUGGUGGAGAAGAGGGAAGGUAGCAACCGCUGCGCUAGGGAAGAGAGCUUCACGCUGCCGAGACCGUGCACGGGCUGCCUUCUCUACACUUCUUUGAGAAACGUGGUUGAUUUCUAAUACAUAUUGAAAGUGAUCUUGCUCCAGACAAAGAUCACAGUCGAGGCAUAGUCGAACCCUAGCCCUGCCAUGCCUGCUUGGCACUGUGGCCAUGCCCAGAGGCUAAAAACCCUCGUGAAAUGCUGCUGAUACACCCCCAAGCAUAAUCUGACCACACCCCUCCCAUGCCCUGAUAGGCAUCAUUGAACGCCAACGCUGACAGGCUGCGAAGCUAAAUGCUUAAUUGAACCACCAUCCUGACAAGGCCCCCGCCACAGAUUGUCUAUCCUCUGUGAUUCCACAAAUCUAGAGAUGGGGGUUUUAUGAUCCUCCUCUUGAAGGAGGGUCACUUUGGUGACAUAGUCAUUGGGCCACAGCCCCAGCCGGCCGGUUGGGUUAGUGCGGUGGUUGGAGCGCGUGCCCACCGGCCGGGAGGUUGGCGGUUCCUAUCCCGUUUCUUCUUGAAGAGAAGGGAGUUGAGCACUUAGCUCUCAACUGAACGGCCUAAGUGCCGGUCUGGGAUGUGGGGUCUCCCUCUCUUUUCUGCUGAAGAUGGGCCACUGGCAGUAAAUAGCACAUGAGAAUUGGGCUCCAACCUCCCUGUGGCUCCCUUGGUAGUCCCGUGGUUUGGUUCCUUACCCGCAAACCGGUGAGUGGCUGGUUCAAGACCCUUCCCCCUUUCUGUUUGUUGGGAAGGGAU